rnacentral:misc_RNA from 1 species
GAUGAAGAACGUAGCGAAAUGCGAUACGUAAUGUGAAUUGCAGAAUUCAGUGAAUCAUCGAAUCUUUGAACGCAUAUUGCGCUCUCUGGUAUUCCGGAGAGCAUGCUUGUUUGAGUAUCAGUAAACACCUCAACUCCCUUUUCUUUUUUGAAAUGGGAGCUAGACUUGAGUGAUCCCAACACUUUUCUCACUGGAAAGUGGCGGGUCACUUGAAAUGCAGGUGCAGCUGGACUUUUCUCUGAGCUAUAAGCAUAUCUAUUUAGUCUGCCUAAAAAACAGAUUAUUACCUUUGCUGCAGCUAACAUAAAGGAGAUGAGUUCUUGUGCUGACUGAUGCAGGAUUCACAGAGACAGCUUUGCGGCUGACUUUGUAAACUCGAUCUCAAAUCAAGUAAGACUACCCGCUGAACUUAAGCAUAUCAAUAAGCGGAGGA